rnacentral:rRNA from 1 species
GGGUCAGUAGGUUGGUCGUGCCACCGGUACGUACUGGUCUCACUGAUUCCUCCUUCCUGAAGAACCGUAAUGCCAUUAAUUUGGUGUUGCGGGGAAACAGGACUGUUACUUUGAAAGAAUUAGAGUGUUUAAAGCAAGCUAACGCUCGAAUACAUUAGCAUGGAAUAAUGAAAUAGGACGAUCGAUCCUAUUUUGUUGGUUUCUAGGAUUGACGUA